rnacentral:misc_RNA from 1 species
UCAUUACCGAAUUGUCAAACACGGGUUGUUGCUGGCCUCCAAAUGGGGGCACGUGCACGCUCUGUUUACACAUCCACUCACACCUGUGCACCCUCUGUAGUCCUAUGGUUCGGAAGACCCCGUCUUCCUUCUGUAGCUCUACGUCUUUACACACACACUGUAGCGAUGUCUCAUGGAAUGUUUUUAUGCGUUUAACGCGAUACAAUACAACUUUCAGCAACGGAUCUCUUGGCUCUCGCAUCGAUGAAGAACGCAGCGAAAUGCGAUAAGUAAUGUGAAUUGCAGAAUUCAGUGAAUCAUCGAAUCUUUGAACGCACCUUGCGCCCCUUGGUUAUUCCUUGGAGCAUGCCUGUUUGAGUAUCAUGAACACCUCAACUCUCAUGGUCUUCCAUGAUGAGCUUGGACUUUGGGGGUUUGCUGGCCCUGCGGCCGGCUCCUCUCAAAUGAAUCAGCUUGCCAGUGUUUGGUGGCAUCACGGGUGUGAUAACUAUCUACGCUCGCGGUCGUCUGCCAGGUAACCCUCAGCGAUGAGGGUUCAUUGGAGCUCAUAAACGUCUCUCCUCGGCGAGGACAACUUUUGAACGUUCGAUCUC